UUUGCACACAGUUAGAGCUUGGAGAUGAGGCCAUACAUUGGCCAAUGAACUCUGAGUGUAGGACGUGUGCUACAUAAACACCGGCAGGUUUUUUUUAUGGAAUCCAUAUGGAGCUUUAUGGCUCUGAUGACUGGAGUCCUGUAGUAAUUCUUGCCACAUCU